CCGGUGUCUCCCUUCUCCCGAGUCCCGGGCUGAGUGCCUGCGCUGACCCCUGGGGAGGUCCCACUGCAGGGGACCCGGGCCCCCUGUCCCUCCCCUCCGGGGACGCCCCCUGGCCGUGCAGAGCCGGUUUCAUCUCUAGGAAGCCAGCCCUCCAUGGCCGCUGGGCUGUGUGCCCAUUUAAGUGCCCUUCCAAUUUCAGCAUUUUUAAGAAAUUUCCCGUUUUUAUUUUAUUUUUUUAUUUAAAUAUUUUAUUUAUUUAUUCAUGAGCGACACAGAGAGAGAGAGAGAGAGAGAGAGAGGCAGAGACACAGGCAGAGGGAGAAGCAGGCUCCAUGCAGGGAGCCCGACACGGGACUCGAUUCCGGGACUCCAGGAUCACCCCCUGGGCCGAAGGCGGCGCUAAACCACUGGGCCACCAGGGCUGCCCGGAAAUUUCCGGUUUUUAAAGUCACUGGAUGUUCCCCUGCCGCGUGGUGUGGGCCAGGGACCCGGCGGACCGUCGUGCCAGGGACGGCGGGGUCCCCCCGGGGCGGGUGCCCCCCCGUCUGCACCGCCCACGCUGCUUCCACGCUGAGGCUUUGCAACACUCUUCCAGAAUGAUCCUGGCUCUUCCCGGUGUUCUCUCCCCGAGCGCCUCCGUGAGAGCCCGUCUCCUGCCCGUGAGCUCCCGCCCUCCCCGCCCUCGGUGCCCACGACGCCCUGGCCCCCCUCCAGGAGCGCCCAGACCCCCUCUGGCUCCUGCACGUUGCCCUCGCUGCCUCCCAGCCUCUCCCUGUUCCCCAGCCUCCGGGGUACACCGUCGGCACACGUGUCUGCCCUCCUUGCUGCUUCUGGAAGGUUCUGGGGGGCGAGGGCUCUCGCUGCUAGGGCUCCAGCUCCAGGCGGAGUGUGGGGCCCACCCCGGCUCCAGGCUCUCCCCGCGCCUGUGGCUCCACGUUCGCGUUUGCAAGGCUUACAGGACUUACGUUCCCUUUUAUGGCGAGGAGCGCAGCUCUGCUUUGUGUCUGGGGCUGGAGCUGUCAGUACGUCCCUCCGUCCCUCGGUCCCUCCGUCCCCCGUCCAGGCUGCGCGGAGUCUGGCCCCAGAUGGAAGGCAGCCCGUGCCGCGCCGCAGCGGGGGUUCAGGGCCCGGAGGGGGCACAGGACGGACGCACAGACACUGGGGGGGCUCUGCGGGAGGGGGACCCCUGCCCCAGCCAGUGCAGCCGGAGGCGCCAGGAAGACGGUGUCCCCCGCGCGACGUGGCCCCCGGGACGGGGAGCCCAGGCCGCAUUUAUUUAGAGCCCACCGAGGUCUCCGCUACCCCAUCGCCUCUCUGGGCCAACGCGGCCCGCGGCCCCGUUCCCGGAAACGCACGUCUGCACGCCCGUCCACCUGCUUCCUGUCGUGCAAAGGCCUCCACCGGCGCCGGGAGACGCACUCGUGGAACAGGCACCAGGCACCCCGGUUCCGAGCCGGCGACCCCGCACUCCAUCCGCGUUCUGGGGCGCGGCGCUCUCCCCAGACCCCGGCUCUUCCCCUUUCCUUCCCGCUGUGCUUCGGCGGAUGGGAGGCGCGUCCCGAGCGGUGGGGUCCCUCCCUGGAGUGGGUCACGCGGGGCCGCUGCGCCCGCACACAGCCCGGCUCCCCCAGCUCUCGGUCGGGCCCCAAGGCUCCCGCAGGACCCGCACAGCGGCCGCCCCGGCCGCCCCGGCCGCCAGCACAGGUCGGUCCCUCUUCCUCUUGCCAAACUUCCGGCAUCUCCUGUCCGGGCCUCACAUUCCGGAACGUGAGCAGGUGUAGGACGGCCUGGCCUCACGCCUGGCGCCCGCGAACGACGCUUGGGCCUCUCUGUCCGUCUUCAACCCCGGGAACGUCCCGGGACCCGUUCUGUGUUUCCUUCCCCGGAUUCUAGGUUUCUCACCUGGAGCUGCCGUCAGGUGGUUUUGGGGGCACCUGGGGGCAGCCACCGACUCUUCAUUUCUCCAUCGUGUCAUGUCUUCGUCUGUUUUCUGCACACUUUAGACAUUUCUUCCCCUUCCUCCUCCGGCCUCCCCACGGAGUUUUUAUGUUGAACACUACGUUCCGGAUUCCGAGGGCUGUUCUUGCGACAGCUGCGGGAUUUCCAGGGGCCUCCCCCAGCCCCUCCGGCUCUGGCACGUGGAGCGUCCCUGGGAGCCUGGGCCCCGCUUCAGACUGUGGGACCUGCGGCUGUGCAGGGACUGUCGGGGGCCAUCGCGGCUGUGUCAGCUGAGCCUGUCCCCGGCCACUCUGCCUCCUUCCCAGACAGUUUCUCCCCCGCGUCCCUGCAGCUCAGGGCCUCACACCCUUGGCGCCCUCGACUCCUCUCGCUCUCCCUCUCUGAUGUAAUCUCAGCAGAUCUCCCACGUCCACCUUUGAGUGCCCCAGGACCCAUGUCCCCCCCACCUGCCCCAGGCUCGCUGGGGGGCCUUCACCCACCUGGACUCCUUCACUCCCCGGGCCUCUCCUCGGGGCCGCGCUCCUCUCCCCAGGAGGACGGUUCCCAAGCACCAGCGAGGCCCACCCUGUGCAGUGCCGGGGUCCCCUCACCCAGCCCAGGGCCCCCACCCCACCCCCGCAGUGCUGGUCCUCAUGCACCAGCCAGCAGGCAGCUGGCCCAGGGUACGGCUUGCUGUGCCAGUCCCUGCCUGGACUGCAAGCGGUAGAGGCCCUCACUGCCGCAUCCCGGGGGCACCUAGGUGGCUGCCCUGUUUGCUCGAUGCUCUACCUACUGGCCCAAGUACUCUUCUGAGUCACCUGGUGUGGACGCAGCAAGCAGCCGAGGGAGAGAAGAACCGGCCUCCAGGACAUCGACACACGUGCACUGGGCCAGUGCGAGGUCACAGAGCCCCCACGGGCUCUGGCUCCAGGUGGCCUCUGUCCUGGACUCUGUCCAGGUCGCUGCCAGGCCUGCAUCGGCCCCACAUAGCCUCCUGCAGCUCCGGCAGCUGCAUCAGGUCCUAGGUGAUCAGACAAGGCUGCUGACUCCCUGUCCUCAGUUCUGUCCUCACCACCCCCACCCCCACCCCUGGCUCGUACGUGUGUCAGAUGAAGGCCGGGGGCUGUCAAAGGACAGCGUCUCUGUGUUCACAGUGGACCCUGGAGACACCCCGUGACCCUGGGACUGGGGGACGAGACUUCUGCAAGUACUGGGUCAUAUAGCUCUGACCUGGGGCCACGUGAUUGUCUUUUAUGCCUUUUAAAGAAAUUAAAUAAAAAAUAAAAAUCAAUACCUGGAAACA
rnacentral:lncRNA from 12 species